ACGGCGUGGGCACCGGUGGUCCUCGGCUGCUUCUUGUCCUACAGUGACUGCGAAUUCACUUACAUACAACUAUGCUCUCCACACAUGCUGAAACUGGGGAUCUAAACAUAAAACACGGUCCCUGCUCCCCUGGGGGAGCACACAGUCAGACUGGGAAACGCAGAGAUAAUCAUCAGAGGAUGGGUACGCACCACAGCAGAGAUAGUAAGAGGGGCUGCAAAGCAGCCAGAAGAUGUGUGCGGCCCAGCAUGAGGUCACCGGACUUGACCUCAUUUCCUUUUUAAUGAGAAGGUGAGGCUGAAGCCGUAGGCCAAGCAGGAGCCUGCUGCCACAACCCAGGUGAGAGGCGGGGGUGCUGGACCAGAUGGGGGCAGAGGUGGGCGUGGUAAGAAGUGCUCAGAGCCUGGCUCAAUUCUGAAGUCACAGUCACCAUCAGGUUAGCUAACCUGAGUACAGAACCCUUGAGAGACGGGGACUCUCUCACCGUGAAACCAGGUUCUUCCGGAGCGUGAGACCGAACCCCAAGGCAACGACCAUCCGCUCUGACAUCACAGGAGCCGGCCAGCUGCCUCCCUCCUGACUCACGACUUCAUCUUCCCCGAGGUCAAGGAGAAGCAAGUGGCACCCUCACCAGCCUCCACCACGGCCCUUACACCUGCCGUCUGGUUUGGGUGGGAACGGGGAGCAGCCUCGGGCUUCAAAUCCCUGUCGUUGGCGGUGGGAACCUCUCAGAGCCUCAGUUUCCUCGUCUACAGGAUAUUCCGACCAAUAAGCAGCCUAUAAAGUUGAUAGUGUGUGUCCCAAAUGGAAAGGCCCCAGAGAGGGCCCUGCCAGGCCUGGGCUGGGUUCGACAUCCACCCCGCUGAUCCUUGGAACCAGGGAACGGGUGCGCCCCCUGCCCCGGGGACUCCAGGGACAGAAUGCCGCUAUUGAUAACCCCAUUAGAACCACUGGAUUGGGGGAAGAAUGGACCCCAACGGAACAGCGUCAGCAGACUGGUGAUAGUAGGAAAAAGAGCCCAUAUUAGUGAAGGAUGCAAAUAAGCAUAAAAAGGGAAAAUUGUGCAGUGAGGUAACGAGGACCCAAAGGAGAGAGCAGCAGAGUCUCUGAGGGUCUGUGGGAGGAAACAAUGAAACACUCACCUAAUUACCACCCAUCAGAGCAUCUGCCUCCCAGCGUUCACAGUUUAAUUUGAAAAUGACGAGAGCUCUGGUCCGUUGCUAAUUCGAUUCCCAAGAAGAUUACAAAGCUUCAAAAUCAGAAACAUCUGGACAGCAAGCUUCUGCGGUCCGUUUCCUACAGGACAAGUCAUAAAGGCCCGGCCAAAGUCUCAACUGAACUCUUCGUAUUUGAGUUAAAGAAGUUUUCCAUUUCUUCGUUUUAAAAUACUCUGGCAAAUACUUUGUGAAUUGUCUGCAUUUUGACUUGAAUUAGUGUUCCCAACUGCCAGUUGCUCUGAUUCUGCAAUUAAAUGCAUCCAUCCAACACUUUCAUGUUUCUGUCAUCUCUAGACCAGUUAGAUACGCAGGGAAGAGCAAUACAAACACAUUUUUAUCUAGUCGCUUGUCUCCUAAUCCCUUCCCAACAUGGAUUUUAAGGCUUUUGCAGAGAAAUAGGAAACACAUUGUACCAACUUUCUAUAAAAGCACAAAAGUCCCCAAAGACUUAAGGAUUGCAAUCAACUUUGGCACCCUAUUUAGUGCCAUGGGGCUAGCGGUUGAUGACUUUAUACUUUGGGGUGGAAAUAGGAGUUUAUUUUCAAAAUAGAGCCCCUCAUUACGCCAGUUGAACAGACUGCUGAGCAUGGACACUUGCUCUGAGGACAGAGGUCUAGCAACAAAUUCCGAAUCUCUCGUUCAUUCUGACCGCGGUGUCCAUCACAGUGUCGGGCCAUCUCUAUGCGGGGAUCCUGGGGCACCUCCAGCUCAGCAUGUCUGAACACCUACGGACUCAGGGGCGGGGGAGGAGGGGCUGCCUUCUUCCUCAGCUAAGGCAGGUCGGGGAGAGCCGGGGCUGUCUGUCUGUUUCCCAGGGCAGAGCUCUGACACAGCACCACCACCUCUGGACGCUGACCCCGCAUCACUCCACCACCAGGUGCUCUCAGCUCCACCCUCCUCGGUCUCCCCUUUAGCUGAAAACCUCCUAUUUCUACCUGGACUGCAACAUCUUACUCACGGCUGGGCACCCGGGUCUCAAUCCUGUGAGCCACACGGCCUUAAGGCUCGCUCACCUGAACUAAACCUCAGUCGGGCUUCUUCCCGACUCCAGCCCGGACCUUCCUGGCUUAGAGCAUUUACUUUAGGAAACUUGUCAUUGCACGUUCUUUCUCUGCCCCUUUGAGAUGCAAAUCUUUUGAAAAGCCUCUUGCCAGUUGUACAACUCAGGAAAUGUAUUUCUCAAGGACCUGGAGCCAUCCCUUUGGCACAUCAUCCUCAAGGAGUGGAGCAUCCACAUCUCCCAGUCUCUGCGGGAAGGUAGGAGCCUCAAUGUGGGGGCACCUUCCUCCAAGUCAGAAAACUACCUCCCAUAAUAAAGACACAAAAAAGUUUACCUUUCCUUUGGGGAAGGCCAAGGGGUAAAUAGGCGUGGCCUAUGACCCCCAUCCCUCCCACCGUUGAUUCAGCAGAGCUGAGCUCAGACUGCAUUCGGGCCUCCCUCCUCUGUUGCAGUAGCCUUGGAUAAAGUUUUCCUCGCCUGUUGAAAUUCGGCGCAAUUUUUGCUUUGACACUGAAUGAACUCAUGGAUCACCUGGGGAGCUGUAGACAUCGGGCGGGAUGCCUCAGCCACACCUGGGAACAUUCGACGAGACUCCCUGAGGUUGGGACUCAGACACCCUGACUUUCAAGGCUCCCCUCUGACCGCAUGGGGCAGUGAAGGUUGAGGAGCACAGACCUGAUCCCAGUGCUCUCCAGUCCUUCCCUUCAGGCCUUCCAGCUGCAGACUGUGUGAGUAAGGUGGGGGUUGGGGGAGGGCAGCUGCCCAAGAUCCAUUCUCAAGAUAGGAGAACUAGGCACGUCUACCUGAGGCAUCUUUUUACAAAUUGUGACAUGUGCCUUCCUAUGGCGUUGUGUUUCCAUUCUGCUGAGAUACUGGAUACAAGGUAGCUAUGCAUCCCUUAAAUCCUGUUAAAAAAAAAGGCCGAUAACUCCAGCCAUGCCUGGAGUUCUGCCCUCCUGCAGACUGGGAACCUUUCUGGCUGCUUCUUUGUUGCACAUUCCUACUUGGACUCGAGUGCCUUUCGAAAGCUCCUCGGCACCAAGACAGCCCUGGUUGGCUGGACAGAUGUGCUGUGAGCACGCCUGACACAGAAGUGUUCCUUCAACACAGCACAUAGUGUCCACGUGUGGGGGAGAAUGUGAGCCAGCACAUGAGCACCCCUCCUUGUGUGUGUGGCACUCGAUGGCAUGGUGGCAUGUGAACUGAGGCUCCGGGUGAAGGCGCUGAGACACCGCCUAGCACUCCCCCACAGUUCCCUCAGGAGGAGCCGUGGGAUGCUUCCUCCGACGGGCUGGAUGAGGGGACCUCGCCUCCUCUCCCAGCAAGAACACUUCCUUUGUAUAAAAGCAUGUUGGGCCAGAGAGACCAGACUCUCCAGGCACAAGUGGCCCAGGGACUAGGGAGGCAGAACCUAAGAGGUUGUCAGUGCCUGCAAGUCAGGAAACUAAAGAAAAUGUGUGAUGUGGCGAAUGCGGUAUGGAAUCCAAGAGAGGCUGAUACACGUGGACAUUACCAAAAGAAACCUCAACAAAACUGGAGUCAGGAAGGCCUGCAGGGGAAGCUCUCCCACUGCAUCAUACAUCCUCAAUUGCUCCAAACAGGAAGAGGCAGGACCUAGCACCUCCCACAGGAAGUGCAACUACAGGAACUGUACUACUGAAGGAGGAAUUCUCUCCCCACCCAGCAACAGCCCAGCCAAUGAGAAGCCGUUGCUGCCCUGAUCUCUUACUCUCCCCCAAUGGACUUUCCUUUAGAACAGCCCCUACCGCUCCUCCUUUUCUCUAUAAAAACAAGCCCCUUCCUUUUGUCUCUCUGGAUUUUCUUAUGGUUUGCCAUAGGAUGCACAUCCCAAAUUGCCAUUCUUUUGGCUCUUCCCAAAUAAACUCCUUUUGCAAGUAAAACAACUGACCAAUUUACUUUUUAAGUUGACAACAACAGUCCCAAGCAGAAGUCAAGGCCCAUCUGAAGCGACAUGGCGUAAGUUUGUAGCAGGAACAUCAGUAUGGUUUGUGACCAUCUCCGGAAAUGUUGAACCCUUGAUGCAGACGUGAAAAGGGGUGAUUGGGGGGGAUCUAGGGAUAAGGCUGUGGGAGAUGAAAGGAGUAGAGGCUCUAAAACAGAGGCGAG
ensembl:lncRNA